UUAAGCGACUAAGCGUACACGGUGGAUGCCCUGGCAGUCAGAGGCGAUGAAGGACGUGCUAAUCUGCGAUAAGCGUCGGUAAGGUGAUAUGAACCGUUAUAACCGGCGAUUUCCGAAUGGGGAAACCCAGUGUGUUUCGACACACUAUCAUUAACUGAAUCCAUAGGUUAAUGAGGCGAACCGGGGGAACUGAAACAUCUAAGUACCCCGAGGAAAAGAAAUCAACCGAGAUUCCCCCAGUAGCGGCGAGCGAACGGGGAGCAGCCCAGAGCCUGAAUCAGUGUGUGUGUUAGUGGAAGCGUCUGGAAAGGCGCGCGAUACAGGGUGACAGCCCCGUACACAAAAAUGCACAUGCUGUGAGCUCGAUGAGUAGGGCGGGACACGUGGUAUCCUGUCUGAAUAUGGGGGGACCAUCCUCCAAGGCUAAAUACUCCUGACUGACCGAUAGUGAACCAGUACCGUGAGGGAAAGGCGAAAAGAACCCCGGCGAGGGGAGUGAAAAAGAACCUGAAACCGUGUACGUACAAGCAGUGGGAGCCUCUUUUAUGGGGUGACUGCGUACCUUUUGUAUAAUGGGUCAGCGACUUAUAUUCUGUAGCAAGGUUAACCGAAUAGGGGAGCCGAAGGGAAACCGAGUCUUAACUGGGCGUUAAGUUGCAGGGUAUAGACCCGAAACCCGGUGAUCUAGCCAUGGGCAGGUUGAAGGUUGGGUAACACUAACUGGAGGACCGAACCGACUAAUGUUGAAAAAUUAGCGGAUGACUUGUGGCUGGGGGUGAAAGGCCAAUCAAACCGGGAGAUAGCUGGUUCUCCCCGAAAGCUAUUUAGGUAGCGCCUCGUGAAUUCAUCUCCGGGGGUAGAGCACUGUUUCGGCAAGGGGGUCAUCCCGACUUACCAACCCGAUGCAAACUGCGAAUACCGGAGAAUGUUAUCACGGGAGACACACGGCGGGUGCUAACGUCCGUCGUGAAGAGGGAAACAACCCAGACCGCCAGCUAAGGUCCCAAAGUCAUGGUUAAGUGGGAAACGAUGUGGGAAGGCCCAGACAGCCAGGAUGUUGGCUUAGAAGCAGCCAUCAUUUAAAGAAAGCGUAAUAGCUCACUGGUCGAGUCGGCCUGCGCGGAAGAUGUAACGGGGCUAAACCAUGCACCGAAGCUGCGGCAGCGACGCUGAUGCGUUGUUGGGUAGGGGAGCGUUCUGUAAGCCUGUGAAGGUGUGCUGUGAGGCAUGCUGGAGGUAUCAGAAGUGCGAAUGCUGACAUAAGUAACGAUAAAGCGGGUGAAAAGCCCGCUCGCCGGAAGACCAAGGGUUCCUGUCCAACGUUAAUCGGGGCAGGGUGAGUCGACCCCUAAGGCGAGGCCGAAAGGCGUAGUCGAUGGGAAACAGGUUAAUAUUCCUGUACUUGGUGUUACUGCGAAGGGGGGACGGAGAAGGCUAUGUUGGCCGGGCGACGGUUGUCCCGGUUUAAGCGUGUAGGCUGGUUUUCCAGGCAAAUCCGGAAAAUCAAGGCUGAGGCGUGAUGACGAGGCACUACGGUGCUGAAGCAACAAAUGCCCUGCUUCCAGGAAAAGCCUCUAAGCAUCAGGUAACAUCAAAUCGUACCCCAAACCGACACAGGUGGUCAGGUAGAGAAUACCAAGGCGCUUGAGAGAACUCGGGUGAAGGAACUAGGCAAAAUGGUGCCGUAACUUCGGGAGAAGGCACGCUGAUAUGUAGGUGAAGUCCCUCGCGGAUGGAGCUGAAAUCAGUCGAAGAUACCAGCUGGCUGCAACUGUUUAUUAAAAACACAGCACUGUGCAAACACGAAAGUGGACGUAUACGGUGUGACGCCUGCCCGGUGCCGGAAGGUUAAUUGAUGGGGUUAGCGCAAGCGAAGCUCUUGAUCGAAGCCCCGGUAAACGGCGGCCGUAACUAUAACGGUCCUAAGGUAGCGAAAUUCCUUGUCGGGUAAGUUCCGACCUGCACGAAUGGCGUAAUGAUGGCCAGGCUGUCUCCACCCGAGACUCAGUGAAAUUGAACUCGCUGUGAAGAUGCAGUGUACCCGCGGCAAGACGGAAAGACCCCGUGAACCUUUACUAUAGCUUGACACUGAACAUUGAGCCUUGAUGUGUAGGAUAGGUGGGAGGCUUUGAAGUGUGGACGCCAGUCUGCAUGGAGCCGACCUUGAAAUACCACCCUUUAAUGUUUGAUGUUCUAACGUUGACCCGUGAUCCGGGUUGCGGACAGUGUCUGGUGGGUAGUUUGACUGGGGCGGUCUCCUCCUAAAGAGUAACGGAGGAGCACGAAGGUUGGCUAAUCCUGGUCGGACAUCAGGAGGUUAGUGCAAUGGCAUAAGCCAGCUUGACUGCGAGCGUGACGGCGCGAGCAGGUGCGAAAGCAGGUCAUAGUGAUCCGGUGGUUCUGAAUGGAAGGGCCAUCGCUCAACGGAUAAAAGGUACUCCGGGGAUAACAGGCUGAUACCGCCCAAGAGUUCAUAUCGACGGCGGUGUUUGGCACCUCGAUGUCGGCUCAUCACAUCCUGGGGCUGAAGUAGGUCCCAAGGGUAUGGCUGUUCGCCAUUUAAAGUGGUACGCGAGCUGGGUUUAGAACGUCGUGAGACAGUUCGGUCCCUAUCUGCCGUGGGCGCUGGAGAACUGAGGGGGGCUGCUCCUAGUACGAGAGGACCGGAGUGGACGCAUCACUGGUGUUCGGGUUGUCAUGCCAAUGGCACUGCCCGGUAGCUAAAUGCGGAAGAGAUAAGUGCUGAAAGCAUCUAAGCACGAAACUUGCCCCGAGAUGAGUUCUCCCUGACCCUUUAAGGGUCCUGAAGGAACGUUGAAGACGACGACGUUGAUAGGCCGGGUGUGUAAGCGCAGCGAUGCGUUGAGCUAACCGGUACUAAUGAACCGUGAGGCUUAACCUU
rnacentral:rRNA from 1 species